GUUAAUGUAGCUUAACCUAAAGCGAAGCGCUGAAAAUGCUUAGAUGGAUUUAUAAUCCCACUAAC
rnacentral:tRNA from 1 species